GUUAUUCUAAAUAUCACAAAUUGUUCCUCAACUAUAUUCUAUCCACUUGAAGAAGUGAGGUCCUUCUUAGGCUUCAAGGACGAAUGGCGAUGAUGACUUUCUUUGCCGCAAAAACAUCCUCCCACAUGUCGUGCAGGCUCGAGGGGAAACGAGGACAAGGUGAGCUUAAUGAAUUUAGGGCUUGAUUAUUGUGUGUAAACUUUUAUUAUCAAUUUGAACAAAAAGCUCAGUCAGCACCACUUUAACACAAUCAUCAAAUCAUAUAUGCAAUUUAAAAGUCCCGUAAGCUCUCUUGUUCUAUUACAAGGGAAUAACCAUUUAAACCCAUUCUUAAAAACUACUAAAUAGAUCUAUUUUUAAAAUUUAGGUACCAAAACAUAUCUAAUAUUCAAAGGGUAAUACUUGAAAACGUAGUGUACCCAUCUCUAUGGUUUCCCCUCCCAUCACAUACACUAAAAAAAAAUUAAAAUAUUUCAAAAAAAUAAAUAAGAAGAAUUUGCCACAUAUAAUUUGAUAGAAUGUACAAAUAUAUGUAUCUGACGAUUUAUGACGCUUCAUCUUUGCUCGUAUCCAAAUUUAUAAUUUAACCUUCUAUAUAUAUAACAAAUCCCACCCAAGGUUUAUGAGUUCAGUUAGAGUUUCUCCUGCCACUCUCUCUGUUUCUUGUUUAAAAGCACUUGCUCUGCAAACUCCUUUUGUGCUCUGCUGAGAAACAAAUCUGAGAUUUUCAUUUCUAAUCUGAAAGAUCAAAGAUGAGAACUCAGAUUUUGGUUCUUGGUUUAUUCUUAUGUUUCCUUCUCUUAAGUGCUUCUUUCAUGGACACUGCCAUGGCUGACUCAGAUGUGUGCACAAGACCAUGCAGGAAGAGAUGCUCGAAAGCGAAGCUGAAGCGUCGGUGCAUGAAAUAUUGUAGAAUAUGUUGUAGUAAAUGCAAGUGUGUGCCAGGGGGUUAUGGCAAGCGCCAUUGCCCUUGCUAUAGCCAUGUUCACACUCUUAGGGGUAGGGCCAAGUGCCCUUAAAUUUAAGGCCAUUAUUGUCCCUUAUGAAAUAAGCCACCUAAAUAGUACUAUAAGGAGACCAAAAUAAUUUUGUGUCUCAAUUAAAUAUUAAUGCUUGAAAGUUUGAAUGUGAGGUUUGGUGUGCCUUUUAUUAAACAAUGUGUAUUUAUGAUCUACCUUAUUGUAUUUUAUUAUUUAAGGCCCUCUUCUAUUGUAUUCUAUUCUAA